rnacentral:rRNA from 1 species
AGAGUUUGAUCCUGGCUCAGAACGAACGCUGGCGGCAGGCUUAACACAUGCAAGUCGAACGCUCGUAGCAAUACGGGAGUGGCGGACGGGUGAGUAACGCGUGGGAACGUGCCCUGAGGUACGGAAUAACUGAGGGAAACUUCAGCUAAUACCGUAUGAGCCCGAGAGGGGGAAAGAUUUAUCGCCUUGGGAGCGGCCCGCGUCGGAUUAGCUAGUUGGUGGGGUAACGGCCUACCAAGGCUUCGAUCCGUAGCUGGUCUGAGAGGACGAUCAGCCACACUGGGACUGAGACACGGCCCAGACUCCUACGGGAGGCAGCAGUGGGGAAUCUUGCGCAAUGGGGGCAACCCUGACGCAGCCAUGCCGCGUGAACGAUGAAGGCCUUAGGGUUGUAAAGUUCUUUUACCCGUGACGAUGAUGACGGUAACGGGGGAAUAAGCUCCGGCUAACUUCGUG